rnacentral:rRNA from 1 species
AUUGAACGCUGGCGGCAGGCCUAACACAUGCAAGUCGAACGAGUGGCGGACGGGUGAGUAAUGUCUGGGAAACUGCCUGAUGGAGGGGGAUAACUACUGGAAACGGUAGCUAAUACCGCAUACCAUCGGAUGUGCCCAUAUGGGAUUAGCUAGUUGGUGGGGUAAAGGCUCACCUAGGCGACGAUCCCUAGCUGGUCUGAGAGGAUGAACAGCCACACUGGAACUGAGACACGGUCCAGACUCCUACGGGAGGCAGCAGUGGGGAAUAUUGGACAAUGGGCGCAAGCCUGAUGCAGCCAGGCCGCGUGUAUGAAGAAGGCCUUCGGGUUGUAAAGUACUUUUGGCAGGGAGGCGUUAUCCGCAGAAGAAGAACCGGCUAACUCCGUGCCAGCAGCCGCGGUAAUUC